rnacentral:lncRNA from 1 species
UUCUCUGCAGGUUAUAUAUGUGAAAUACUUCUUAUCUGUUAGCCAUAUGUUGUCUCCUUUGCGUGACUUCUAAUCCGACCUGGUACACAGCAUAUGCAACCUUCUACUUCUCAACCCCUCUGAAGUAAUAAGUAAUAGAAUUCUGAAUCUAUCCAGUCUCUGAAUGGUUGCCUGCUCACCCGGUGUAAGGAGUAUUCUAGAAGUUCUUGAUUGUUGGGGCAUAUCAGGAAGCGGGAAACACGUUCCAGUACACUUAAAAUUGAACACUCAAAGAUUGUCUAUAGAUCUCGCUGCUCAAUUUAGGUGGACAACAAUAUCCCUGGUCGUCGUCAGAUGAAUGGUCCUUAAGAUAUAGUAUCUAAUAAAUUAGGAUCAGAUAUAAUUUUUAGGAACUUAAGUUCACCUUGUCUUGUAUCAAAUAGUAUGUCCUAAAUUUGUCACAAUUUUUCGUGUUUAAGUGGACAACAAUACCGGCGAUCGACCAGACAAAGACAUGAAGAUAGAAGGUACCGACAAGCGGAUAAAGGCUGUCUAAAAACUUUGAUCCCAAAUCUCUCUUAAAGUUAGAUAUCAUUUUUGUUUUUGUUGAAUUUGUCAUAGUUUCUUCUAAUUUAAAUAUUAGGGGAGAAUUAAAAAAAAAUCAAAAUAAUGAAAAUAAAAAAAAACAAAAAAUUCAAAAAUCAAAGAAAAAUUAGAAAAAUUUAAAAAAAAUCCAAAAAUAGUGUUAUUUCUGUUUUAUUUCUUGUUCAGAAAAAUCAAAAAUACAAAAAUAUUUUUGUUUCUGUUUUAAUUUGUGUGCUAAGUUUUCUUUUAGUUUUGUUUUGUCUUGAAAAAUGAUUUCAGGUAUAGAUAAGACUCAUGGAGUUUGUGUUGAAGAUUUCUGAGCCAAAGCCUCGUCCGUGAGCAUCGAAGAAUUCGCAUUCAAAGGAGAAAUAAAUGAAGAUUAUUCUUUCAACAUUCAAUCCUUCAAUCCCAGAAGCAAGGUGAAGCUGCAAUUGAAGAUUAUGUGACGAAUUGCAUUGAAGCCUCCUCAAUCAGUUUGUUGCUAUCUUUGUACCUGCUGAAGUGAUCCAGAAGAUUUGUUCUCUUUGAUGUUUUCUCUGAAGAUUAUCAAGCUGAAAGCGCUAUCUUUCAAGAAUCAGUACAUCAAGUCUCCUCACCCGAUGUGCGUUUAAGGCCAAACUCUGAAGAAAUGCCCAACUGCUCAAGAUGAAGUCAUUCAUUGAAGAUAAUUGUUGAAGCCAAUUUCUCAUUGAAUAUUAACAAGAAAAGCCAGCUACAUUUUAGGGGGAGCUUGUUGGGUCAAUUAAGAAAAGAAAGCUAUAAACCAAAGGGGAAGAUUGUUGGGUCAAAAUAUGGUUUAUACUUGCUUUUCUGGGCAAUUAUAUUUUUCUUUAAUAUUUUUGGAGUUUACGGUCAUGUUUACGGUUGAGUUUACGGCCGUAAACACCUUACGGCCGUAAACCCAUUUAUGUCCCAUGUUAUCCGGCCCAUGUUCUCCAAGUAUAAAUAUAGUUGUUAGGGUGAGGAGUAGAAUUUGAUGAACAUUAGAGAGGUUACGGCCUAGAGAGAGAGAAACGUGUGUGUGUGUGUGAAUCUUUUGUAUCCAGAUCUUCAUUCAUAUCAAUACAUACAAGAUUCAUAUUAACCUUAUUCUCCUUCUCUUCUAUUUGAUCUGACAUCAUCCGUUUGAUUGGGAUUCCGCACCAUCAAACAGAUUUGAUUGAUACACAAACAAAUUAGGGACUUACAAUUGGUAUCAAAGCCAAGUUGUAUCAGUCAAUUUUGUCAGAUUUUGAGCAUUAUUUAAUUUUAUUUUCGAAAUAUUCUUGCGUUUCUAGAUAGAUCUCUAAAAAAUAAGGGGGGGUUUGUUCUUCGUGUUUUUCAUAAAAAAAGGUUUUUGAUCGAGUUUUGGAGCAAAAAAGGGCAAAAAUAGGUGUUUUUGGUCGUCAGCGAGGGGNUGGUCGUAAUCAGCGAGGGGGUGGCGGCCAGCAGCUAGGGUUUCCGAAGUGUUUGCGGUCCGAGGCCUCGCACGUUUACGGUCCGAGCUUUCGGCCUCGGAGUUCACCGUCCGAGAUUACGGGCCUCGCAGUUUCCAGUUCGCAACAGAUCCUGGCAUCGCGCGUCGCACCUCGGCCUCGCAACCAGCUUCGCAUUUAAAAAAUAAGACGCGACUUUGGAGGUGCUGGGGAUCGAAACUGCGACCUCCAACUCCCAAAGACAGCGCCUUACAAUCUCAACUACCAAGAUUCAUGUUUCACUCCUCCGAAAUUUAAAACAUAACCCGUCUUUUUCGCUUCAGGUUUCGCAUUUUUGACACUUUUAACCCCAAAGCUCAAUUCCUUUUAAUUUUAAAUUUCUUUUUCAUCCAAAAUAAUAAUAAUAAUAAUAAUAAUAAUAAUAAUAAUAAUAAUAAUAAUAAUAAUAAUAAAAUUAAAAAUAAUAAUAAUAAAUAUAUUAAAUUAAAAUUAAUAAAUAAAAUUAUAUUUUAAUUUUUGACUUUUAUUUUUUUUUAACUUUUGACCUUAAAUUUGGACUUUGACUUCCAAGUUUGACAUUUGACUUUAAACUUUGACUUUUUCGUUUAAUUUUUAAAUUUUCAAAUUUAGUUUUUCGGUUUGACUUUUAAGUUUGACUUUUGAAGUUUGACUUUUGAGUUUGACCUUUUAAAUUUGACUUUUAAGGUUGACUUUUGAGGUUUAUGAUCAAAGAGUUUGACUUUUAAGUUUGAUUUUGGCUUUUAGUUGUGCUUUUUAAUUGAUUUUAAGGUCUACAAGGGAGUUGAAAACAUGAAAGAGAGUCGUCAGGAUAUGUUAAGACAAAAUUUCAACAUGUUCGAUUAUGUCCCUAGAGAAACCCUGGAAGCUCAGUUGCAACGAUAUAAAGGAUAUCAACUCAGGAAAUGACAGAAACCCUUGAAUGUUGAAUUAGAAGCAAAAACCAAGGACUUUAGGAGACAUCAGGAAGAGUAUAGCAACAAGUGUGAAAAUUAUGAUUAUAUUAAGAGACAACUUGCUGCUGUAACUGAAGAAUUUGACGCUUUAAAAAUUAAGUGUGGAAAAAUAGAUGUCAGUUUCAAAAAUUAUACUACGUCAAGUCAGACAGUCGAGUCCUUAUAUGAAACCCAAUUAAAAUUCAAAGAAAAUCAAAACAAGGGUCUAGGGUAUGAUAGUGUUCCUCCACCUUUCAAUCAUAACUACACAUCCAUUCCUAUGACACAAGACGAAAUUGACAGGGAGGCACAUUUUCGAUAUGGCAAACCAGUUGGAUUUGUGUCAGGAGGAUUUAUUCAAGUUGAAAAUACUAAUGUUUCUGCUUAAUGUGCAGGUAAAGUAGCAGAAGAUGAGAACAAGGAGAAAACCAUUGAACAAACCAACAUCUCCUUGAACUCUGAAUUUUUUGCUUCGAACUCAGCUGUUUCUGAUCAACCUGCUGUUGAGAAAUACAAGCCACCAAUUCCAACACAACAGAGUUCUUGUGGCAAGUGUGCAUGUGGGAACAACAAGAGACAAGGCAAAGAUACGCCACCAGGGGCAGGAAGAGAUAACUUCACAGUGAAGAAAAAGACUUGUUUUCACUGUGGAACACCUGGACACAUUGCCAGAAAUUGUCCUAAUCGCGCAUAUGUUGCCUACUAUGCACAAGGCUGACAGAACGCGCCAAGAGGGAGAUUUUUCAAAAGAAACCCCUCAAAGUCACGUUCAGACAAUGCCAACUGGAAUGCCAUGAAGGCCAAAAAUUCAACUCCCAAGGCCAAGCAUCCUACUCCUAAGGUCAAGCAUCCGAAUCCCAAGGGAAAGAAGGAAAUGUUGACCCAGAAGUCUAGUCCAAGAGAUGCUCCUGUGAAGCCAAGACCGGUUAGGUUAAAGUCAUCUCGGCAGCCGGCUUCAAGUUCCAAAUCAAGUGCCGAGGCGCCCAUCGAAACGAAAAAUAAAUGGGUUAAACCCAACUACCAAUGGGUACCAAAGGCUCAAUAUCCUAAUGAUGCUAAUAUUUUUACAUCUUCUGUUUGUGAUAAACAGGACAUGUCAUGGGAGAAAGUAUUGUGUGUUGAUGACAAAGGUCGACCCAGUUUCAAAAUGGACUGGGUUCCAAAGACCAACUGAUCCCGCUCUACGUCAGAGCAGCUAUGGAGGCAUAUCAUCAGACUACGGUUUGUUGGUAGUGACUGCUCCUGGCAUAUGAUAGGGGACAUCUCUCAAAUAUACAACACUCAUAACUUUGUUCGAGAGUUUGUGUCCUUUGCGGGAAAGGAAAUAAGGGAAGAAAAGAAGGGAUCACAUGGGGUUGGUGCUUAAUGAUAUGAAGAAUUUUUGGAUCUGUUAUGAGAUUAUGCGUGCUGUUCUCAGACCUUCUGAAUGCAGAUUCAAUCGGUGAAUUACGGUUUGCGUUUUCUUCUCUAUACCCCUGAGUUUUUCUUAAGCUGAUUCGCUUUAAAGACUAAUUUUUGUUUUAGCAUAGUUUAAAUUUGUGCAUUUACUUUCGUUUCUCUCCUAUGCACAAAUUUAGGGGGAGAAAUAAAAAUAAAUCAAAAAUUAGAAAAUUUAAAAAAAAAUCCAAAAACAUUAGAAAAUUAAAAAAAAUAAAAAAUAUAUGUUGGUUAUGAAAAAUGCUUGCAGGAGAUGUUUUGGGAAGUGAUAUUAUCUAGUGAUAACAGACAACCUGAGUCUGCGUAACGUACCCAAAGUGGAAGGGUCUAUGCUCUGGUUUGAUGCGUCGGUAGGAACGAAAACAAUUUAAAUGGACAUGACUAGGUAGAANAUCAAAAAUUAGAAAAUUUAAAAAAAAAUCCAAAAACAUUAGAAAAUUAAAAAAAAUAAAAAAUAUAUGUUGGUUAUGAAAAAUGCUUGCAGGAGAUGUUUUGGGAAGUGAUAUUAUCUAGUGAUAACAGACAACCUGAGUCUGCGUAACGUACCCAAAGUGGAAGGGUCUAUGCUCUGGUUUGAUGCGUCGGUAGGAACGAAAACAAUUUAAAUGGACAUGACUAGGUAGAAUUGAACUUAGGAAAUUUAUAGACUUGACCAAUCUUGACCUAGUUAGAUCCGUUCAGCCUGACAAUACGACGCUCGGAUAGGUUGAGCAGGGAGAUAUAUAUGGGAAUCUACUCGUCACAUUAAUUGAACCCGUACUUGGAACUGUGGUUUAACUUUUCCUCGAUGUGCGGAUUCUGUCCUUAAUUCCGGUUGGAUGGGGCGACUGGUAAAUUCCGAUAAAUUAGGUCUGUAGAAUAUCAUUUUCUUUCUUUCCGUCUGUUAGUCAUAUGUUGUCUCCUUUGCGUGACUUCCAAUCCGACCUGGUACACAACAUAUGCAACUCUAUUUCUCUGCAGGUUAUAUAUGUGAAAGACUUCUUAUCUGUUAGCCAUAUGUUGUCUCCUUUGUGCGACUUUUAAUCCGACCUGGUACACAGCAUAUGCAACCUUCUACUUCUCAACCCCUCUGAAGUAAUAAGUAAUAGAAUUUUGAAUCUAUCCUCUCUCUGAAUGGUUGUCUGCUCACCCAGUGUAAGGAGUACUCUGGAAGUUCUUGAUGGCUGGGGCAUAUCAGGAAGUGGGAAACAUGUUCCAGUACAAUUAAAAUCAAACACUCAAAGAUUGUCUAUAGAUAUCGCUGCUCAAUUUAGGUGGACAACAAUAUCCCUGGUCGUCGUCAGAUGAAUGGACCUUAAGAUAUAGUAUCUAAGAAGUUAGGAUUAGAUAUAAAUUUUAGCUUUUUAAGUUCA